rnacentral:rRNA from 1 species
GAUGAACGCUGGCGGCGUGCCUAAUACAUGCAAGUCGAGCGAACAGAUAAGGAGCUUGCUCCUUUGACGUUAGCGGCGGACGGGUGAGUAACACGUGGGUAACCUACCUAUAAGACUGGAAUAACUCCGGAAAACCGGGCCUAAUGCGGGUUAACAUUAAAAACGCCAGGGUUCUAAGGGGAAAGAGGGUUUUGCUUUCCCUAAAAGUUGAACCCCGGCCGUAUUAGCUAGUUGGUAAGGUAACGGCUUACCAAGGCAACGAUACGUAGCCGACCUGAGAGGGUGAUCGGCCACACUGGAACUGAGACACGGUCCAGACUCCUACGGGAGGCAGCAGUAGGAAAUCUUCCGCAAUGGGCGAAAGCCUGACGGAGCAACGCCGCGUGAGUGAUGAAGGUCUUCGGAUCGUAAAACUCUGUUAUUAGGGAAGAACAAAUGUGUAAGUAACUGUGCACGUCUUGACGGUACCUAAUCAGAAAGCCACGGCUAACUACGUG